rnacentral:tRNA from 1 species
GCCGACCUAGCUCAGUGGUAGAGCGCGUGGCUUUUAACCACGUGGCCGUGGGUUCGAUCCCACGGUCGGUG